CCUGGUGAUUAUAGCGUGAAGGAACCACCUCUUCCCAUUCCGAACAGAGAAGUUAAGCUUCACAGCGCCGAUGGUACUGCUCAAAAGGUGGGAGAGUAGGUCGUCGCCAGGU
rnacentral:rRNA from 2 species